ensembl:lncRNA
AAGACACAGCAUACUAGAGCAUAAAACCACUAAGGUCUGCAAAAUUCUCCGCUAUUAUGGAAAAAGGAACUUACCACAAGAGACUGAGUCCUGGGAAGCCAUCAGUCAGCUGAGGAUGUGGUGCCAGAGUGGAUCUGCAGCUGAAGAGCUCAUGGGGCCAGGAUGUGAAACGGCUAAUCAGAAUAAUCAAAUUGGCUGGUUUUGCCUUGUGAAAAUCAUUUUGUUUCAACAAUACCUAAAAUCUCCAUUUCCAUAAGGUACACACAUUUUACUUCUAUCAUAACAAAUCAUUAUACCAGCAAAUAUUAAACACAUCACUGAAAUAUAAUAUUAAAAUUAAUAUUUGAUAUUGUCCUAAAAGUUCACGUGAAAUUAAUGGAAAUAGAUGAGUUGAAAGAGGAAUUUAUUUACUUUACCUCAGCAGGAUGAGAUAUUUUGGUACUAUCAAGAGAAACUUAGCAAGAGCUUUUUUCAGCACUUUGUUCUAGUCUGUAAUUUUAUCAGGGAUUGCACGUUUUUGAGAAAAUCAAAGGCAAAUAUCUAUUCUGAAGAAAAGCUGUUCUGCUGGAAAAGCUCCAAGCAAUCUUUUUUCUAAAACCUUCCUCAAAAUUACCUCAUCCCAUGCCCUGAGCCCUCUCUACUCUCUUCUGUUGGUCACAUUUGCACUCCAUCAAAUACCCUGCCCUAAUCUAGGUCUAUAGUUGAGGUCUUUGGCCACCAAUCAGUCCUGGCCCUCUGACAUCUCUCCAACCUUGCCUUUCAUCCACGUGGCAGAGGUCAAUCCUCUAUCUUGUCUUCUGCUGUCUCAGUGCAGAGGCAGUGCAUUGGGUUUCUGCUGGGUGACCAUCAUGGUCUCUGCCCAGGCCCAUCAUUGCCUGUGGGGAGACUUCAAAUUCAUGCCACCAGGCCCCUCACUGCAUGGCGGCUUGCAGUGAGAGAGUGGGAGAGAGGCCUUGAGGGGAGCAGCAGCCAGUGGGGGGUAAUGGUUUCCAUAAGUGCUGGCUUUCCACCCAGCUAAGGUUCUUGUGUGGUCUUACAUCAUCGUGCAGCUCAGGACAUCUACACCCAACAGGCAGUCACAAGAAGUCAGGGAUCACAGGCAGUGCACAGGGCAGUGACAGAACAGAUGUCCUAACUCCAGCCCACUGCUGAGUAUCCCUGUUUGCUGGGCUGAAGUGUUAUUCCUCCUGCAGCACUUUAGGCCGACAUUUAUACGUCCUCUUCUGGUCCCUGUAUGAGAACAUUGCAAAGUGGGAUAUGUUCACUCUAUUCCUCUGUGUGAGAAUUGCUAUAACUUCCAACAAGCAGAGGGAUAUUGAACUUCAGUAAUUAUGAAGCUAUUCAAGCAAAAACCCAUGACUCCAAAACAUACAAAGAUACUUACAAGGCUUCUCAAUAAUCCAUGGACCAGUAAGGGGCUGACAAGCAAUGCAUCAUUCUUCCUACCCGGGAUGAAUUGAUUCUGUCACCAGCAAACUAAAUGCAAUCAGAAUCUUGACUUGAAUCAUAAAUCGUACUUAAGCCACAGUUAGCAGUAAAGCGAAGUGAAGCAGAUAAAAAAAGAAAAAAUAAAAAAUAAGGGGAAGAGAUGGUAUAGCA